UACGUAGGGUGCAAGCGUUGUCCGGAAUUAUUGGGCGUAAAGAGCUCGUAGGCGGUUUGUUGCGUCGGCUGUGAAAUCCCGAGGCUCAACCUCGGGUCUGCAGUCGAUACGAGCAAACUAGAGUGUUGCAGGGGAGACUGGAAUUCCUGGUGUAGCGGUGGAAUGCGCAGAUAUCAGGAGGAACACCGGUGGCGAAGGCGGGUCUCUGGGCAGUAACUGACGCUGAGGAGCGAAAGCGUGGGGAGCGAACGGG
rnacentral:rRNA from 1 species